rnacentral:rRNA from 1 species
UACAGAGGGGGCCAGCGUUAUUCGGAAUUAUUGGGCGUAAAGGGCGCGUAGGCGGCCAUGCGUGUCUUCCGUGAAAUCCCUCGGCUUAACUGAGGACGUGCGGAAGAAACUGCAAGGCUUGAGUCCGGGAGAGGGGGGUGGAAUUCCCAGUGUAGCGGUGAAAUGCGUAGAUAUUGGGAGGAACACCGGUGGCGAAGGCGGCCCCCUGGACCGGUACUGACGCUGAGGCGCGAAAGCUAGGGGAGCGAACGGG